AGCAGCCGCGGUAAUUCCAGCUCCAAUAGCGUAUAUUAAAGUUGUUGCAGUUAAAAAGCUCGUAGUUGAAUUUCGGGACCAAUUUGUUGGUCGUGCCUCGGUACGUACUGGUAUUAUUGGUUUUUCCCUUCUGAAGAACCUCGAUGCCAUUAAUUUGGUGUCGUGGGGAAUCAGGACUGUUACUUUGAAAAAAUUAGAGUGUUUAAAGCAAGCAUACGCUUGAAUACAUUAGCAUGGAAUAAUGAAAUAGGACGUUUGAUUCUAUUUUGUUGGUUUCUAGGAUCGACGUAAUGAUUAAUAGGGAUAGUUGGGGGCAUUAGUAUUCAAUUGUCAGAGGUGAAAUUCUUGGAUUUAUUGAAGACUAACUACUGCGAAAGCAUUUGCCAAGGAUGUUUUCAUUAAUCAAGAACGAAAGUUAGGGGAUCGAAGACGAUCAGAUACCGUCGUAGUCUUAACCAUAAACUAUGCCGACUAGGGAUCGGA
rnacentral:rRNA from 1 species